AUUGAACGCUGGCGGAAUGCUUUACACAUGCAAGUCGAACGGCAGCACGGGGCAACCUGGUGGCGAGUGGCGAACGGGUGAGUAAUACAUCGGAACGUGCCCAAUCGUGGGGGAUAACGUAGCGAAAGUUACGCUAAUACCGCAUACGAUCUACGGAUGAAAGCGGGGGAUCGCAAGACCUCGCGCGAAUGGAGCGGCCGAUGUCAGAUUAGGUAGUUGGUGGGGUAAAGGCUCACCAAGCCAACGAUCUGUAGCUGGUCUGAGAGGACGACCAGCCACACUGGAACUGAGACACGGUCCAGACUCCUACGGGAGGCAGCAGUGGGGAAUUUUGGACAAUGGGCGCAAGCCUGAUCCAGCCAUUCCGCGUGCAGGAUGAAGGCCUUCGGGUUGUAAACUGCUUUUGUACGGUAACGAAACGGUCUGCCUAAUACGGCGGGCUAAUGACGGUACCGUAAGAAGUAAGCACCGGCUAACUACGUGCCAGCAGCCGCGGUAAACCGU
rnacentral:rRNA from 1 species